UCUAUAUAUAUCUAUGGUCGGCGCGUUUGGUAGCAUCUCUGGCUGCUGUUGACCUUGUUUUUGGAGUAAAACACGGUGGAAGCUGAAUUAGUGAGGAUGACUCCUGCUCCUGUCAUCUCUAAGCUCCUCCCACAUCUUUACCUGCACAUGAGGAAAAUCACUCCUGUAGAAUGCAGAUGUUCAGAGGGAGAUGAUGCCACAUCUGGUCCAGCUGAUGGAAGGUCUUGAAGUUCUCUGACUGGCCUCGACUGAAGAUGGUCGUCUCACUGGAUUUAAGGUUCAGAUGCUCAGUAACAAACUCCACCAAUGAGCCAACAGGGAAGCUUUAGGUUUAUUAAAUGUUGCUAUGAAGGUAUCGCUGUUUUUCUUUGUGAAUGCAAUGAGCUCCAACUGAAACUUGAAUUAGAACUUAGAAGUAAAUCCUUCCAUCUGAAAGGAUUUAGUUGCAUUAAUAACCUCAUAACAUUGUAAUUUUUAUUCCAGUCUUGGCUGAAAAUAGAAUCUCUGUAUUGAUUCAGGUAAAAACUGAACUUCACAGCAUGUUGGAGCAAAACAACCAGAUGAAAACUGUGAUGUGUUGGAUUGUCAGACCGUAAUGUUGCAGCUCAAAGCAGCUUUUCUAUCUCAGUUCAUUCUGACAUUCAGCUAUAAAUCAACACAGCAGAUGGUGAUCCAUGCUGUGGAAGUCUCACAUCUCCUGAUUUAAUGGAGCUGCUUUGCACUUUUUACACUGUUUAUUCACCAACACUUUAUUUAAUAAAAGUCCAUCUAGUUUUCAUGAGGAAUGUGAUGUUUUAAUUUCUCUGUGAAUAACUGCAGUCUAAUGGAACAGCUGGAGUUGUAACAUCUGUCCUGAUAUUGAUCAUGAAGUAUUGAUCAGAAUACUUAUGGUUAGCAGUCAUCCCUGAAGUUUUACAUUAAAAUCUUUACUUGUGUUGUGAACUUUGGUAAGAAGCAGAAACUUUAGCGUUGCCAUGGAUACAUGAGUAUUAAAUUCUGUCCAUGUUUCCAUUUUGGGAUGCAGUCCAGUUCCAAAAUGUGGAGGAAUUUAGUCUCACAAUCACAGACAACAAAUAUUAUCUGAAAGUUGGGUUGUUGUUUAUCAGUACAAUACAUAAAGAUUAAUGUUAGAAAUAUUCCAGUUAAGACUCUAGAAUAUCAUGAUUUAUGUAAAUUUACCUCAGUAAUAUGAAUGUUCAGGUUAAGAUUGUGCAGUGAUAUUUAUUAUGUAAGUUUAGCUGAUUAAAGUUUAUGACUCUGCACUAAAAUAUUAUUUAAAUUGACAUCAUUAUUAUAAUAUUUAGGGUCAGACCCUACAGUAUUGAGAUUAAGAAAUCAAAUAUUCUAUAAAAUGUAAAUACACUGAACUAAUUUGGAUAUAUUUAAGUGAGACUCUACAAUAUUAUUUAUGACACAAAUCUAUCUAAAUCAAAAUUUUAAUAAUUUUCAUGCCAAACAUUUACUGGACUGAUUUAAAUAUUAAAAUCACUCCUUUCUAAUCCUCUGCUGUACGUUCAAACCUGAGGCCUUAAAUAGAAACACACAAGUAUCUGAUUGAAGGAACUUCUGCAGAGUCCUGGUUCCAGAACAUGAUGAUAGAAUUAUAGACAAACUUUAACAAAAGCUGCCUGAGAGUUUACAGGUUUUUAUGUUGGAUUUCUUCAGUAAUUUAAUGAGCGUUAUCAGCAAAAAUCAAGUGUUCAUUUGAUGAACUUCAUUUCCUAAAACAUCCAGAAUUGGAGCUCAUAUCUUUGGCAGCUGUAAAGUUUCUGCUCCUUCAAAGUUCACAACACAAUGAAUGAAUUCCUAAAACACUCUCAAUGCUGGAGAGCGUUUGUGAUGCUGAAGCAGUGAUCAGUUUUUCUGUU